UAGAUCGGGAUUUUGUUUCUAUUUUAUUAUUAUUAGUAUUCCGAUCCCGGUGUGAUUUAUUCUAUUACUUUGGUAACGCCCACUUUAUACGAUAGCCAAUAACGUUAUUGACAGUUGUCUAUUGUUCUGUCCCAUAUAUAAAGCCGUGUAAGUCCUUAUUUGACGAAGGAGACGGCUGGUUUCGCUAGCUACUUUUCUCCUGAAGCAAGCAGAGAGGGGGAGGGAGACAGCUGGUUUCGCUAGCUACUUUUCUCCUGAGUCCCGACCCGUCUCGUCUGUCUAUUUGAGGUCCCUGUUAAAGUUAGGUUUUAGGGUUGGGGGAUUUUAAGUAUAUGCUAUUGACUUGUGUUCUUAUUUUGUUAUAAUAAAUUUAUAAAGGGUUGUUAAUCUUGGUUUUCAUUUACUUUGAGUUUUGGUUUAUUAUAUCUGGUUUAUCUAUAUCGAGAGUAAAGUCGUUUUCAUACCUUAUUUAUAAUUUAGUAAAGUUUAAUUCUUAAUGUAGAGGUCAAAUUCGGUCUCAAAACAAAAAUAAACACAACGCGAAGUACUGAUAAAAAACCUAUACGGCACUGACCUGCUACAUUAUUUGGUGAACCGUGACCAGGAUAGGGUUUGUACUACAAUGGUCAGUGGCACGUGCUACUCACUUUGAGAGCCCUAUUCAGUGAUUCGGACUUGGCUGAAUUCUUUUGUUGUCAGUUUCUAUUGUAUUGUGGGUUUUUUUUUAUUUCUUUAGCUGUGUAAUGGAUUUAUGGGUUUGAGAAUUCAUGUUGUUCGUGAAUUGAAAUAUUCAGUAGAUUAUUUUUGUACUUGAAAUUUUACGCUGCAUUUUUUCAUCAUGCAGUUAUGUUUAGAGAUGAUAGAGAAUUUUUGCGUCAGAGAAAUUAUCCCCCAGCACAUGUUCAGACCGGAAAUGGUGUCCGUUGUGAAAGUUUGGACCAUGUAUUCACCAAUUUUAUUGCAGUUUAUCCAGACACCAGGUUGACCAAUGUGAGAUUUGGAAAUGGACUGGAAUCUGAUACAUUCAACUCCAUAUAUUUCAAGUGUCUGAUCGCCUUCAUAAUAUCCGAUGUUAUACCGGUAUCCACUGUGUUCAUUCUGGAAUCAGCGAUAUCCGUGAAGUUUGUGAUUAUCGUGUGUAAAUGUUGCGUUGUUCCCUUAGUAUUAUAUUCCGGAAUGUGUUCCAAUUCGUGAUUGCUGAGGACCAUGGAGACUGGUACGGUGAAGCCACGGUGAACUUAGCAAUGUGACAUAUUCCCCUGAUUGUGUUAUAUUUUGCUUAUUUUGUAUGUAUGUUUUUGAGGGAAAUUUGAUUGAAAUGCACCACUUGAUUUUAAUCAAAUGCAUAGCAUUUGUCAUUAAGGGGGGAGGAAUGUGGUAGAUCGGGAUUUUGUUUCUAUUUUAUUAUUAUUAGUAUUCCGAUCCCGGUGUGAUUUAUUCUAUUACUUUGGUAACGCCCACUUUAUACGAUAGCCAAUAACGUUAUUGACAGUUGUCUAUUGUUCUGUCCCAUAUAUAAAGCCGUGUAAGUCCUUAUUUGACGAAGGAGACGGCUGGUUUCGCUAGCUACUUUUCUCCUGAAGCAAGCAGAGAGGGGGAGGGAGACAGCUGGUUUCGCUAGCUACUUUUCUCCUGAGUCCCGACCCGUCUCGUCUGUCUAUUUGAGGUCCCUGUUAAAGUUAGGUUUUAGGGUUGGGGGAUUUUAAGUAUAUGCUAUUGACUUGUGUUCUUAUUUUGUUAUAAUAAAUUUAUAAAGGGUU